CUUAUGACAUUAAGGUUGGAAGAAAUCUAAAAACAAUCUUACCUACCUCUCUCUCACUCAUUGCUCUACUUUGAACUGCCCAGCACUGUAAAUGGAAGUCAGAGUAUCACAGGUCCCCUCGUGCUGCAUGAGAAGGGAUUCUUGAGAGGACCAAAGUUCAUGAAAGCCAAAGCUUCGUACCCCCAUUUGAGGCACCUCUUAGCCAAGAGACAGAAACUUAACUUUGGGGUUCAAAGUCACAGGACCUCAAAGAUCUUUCCAUAACAGUGACUGGUGCCUUCAUAGGGACAUGGGGAGGGUGACAGAAUUUGGACUAGGUUCAGAUGAAAAAGCUGAAAAAAAAUGAGGUUUUUUUAUCAUUGAUAAUGGACCCUAGGGUAAUCAAGAACUGAACAGAAGGAUGAAGGGGACUACUAAUUGAAAUUGCUUCUGAAAAGUAAAUAAAAGUAAUAGAUAAUAGAUAAUAGCCAAAAUGUCUACAGACAUGAAUGCAAAUCUGGCCACUUCCACUCACUAACUGGGUGACUUUGGACAUGUUACCUGUACUUCCCUAGCCUUAUCCUCAUUCCUUGUAAAAUUAGGAUAAUGAUAUUUAUCCGGUAAGCUUGUUAUAAGGGUAAAACGACAAAGAAUCUGAAACACAGAGAAAGAGUAGUUGUCAUUGUUACUAUCACCAUCAUCACCAUCAGCAAUCACCAAAUCAACAAUCGCCAAAAUUUACCAAGUAUUUAUUGCUUGCUAAAUAUUGUACUUGGUGUGUGACACGUAAUUGUUACUGUUAGUAUUAUUGUUGACCAGUCAGUAAUAUCAGAGGCUUAUGGAUUUUCCUUGUUAUAACUGACCAUCAAAUCAGACUGGUUUUCUUCUACCUUGAGGAAUUUGUAUGAAGCAGCCUAAAAGCAGGAGAAUGUCUUAUUUUCAGGCCAUUACAUUCAAAUACCGAAUCAGGCCAUAUUCACCAAGAUGCUCUGGGAGGAGGAAAUGCCUUUCAUUAGCAGGUCCCUAAGAAUUUUAUGCUUUGGUGACAUCGACUGACAUUAACGACAGAAACAAGUGGAUGGAUGGAUGGAGCGAGAGUAUCUACAAGAGCGGAAGAAGGCUGGGAACCAACAGGAUCUAGGGAGCUAAUUUUACACUUACCAAGACCCCAGGAUGGCUAGACACAAAGGAGACCUGCGCCCAGUAUGCAGCGAGAAGCUAAGCCCAGUGACAUCCACAACUUGCAACAGAGCUGUCACCAAGCCGGCUUGACCAGCUGACCAACA